ACGUCAGUAGUGCAACGGCUCAGCACGCGCUCCUGAAGAGUGAAAUCUGGGUUCGAAUCCCUGCUGACGCA